UGAGCAAUCUGCCCUUCACAUCGGAAUAACCAUUGGAAACGAUGGCUAAUACCGAAUAUGACUUCGGAUCGCAUGAUCUGAAGUGGAAAGCUCCGGCGGUGAAGGAUGAGCCCGCGGCCUAUCAGCUAGUUGGUGUGGGUAAUGGCCCACCAAGGCGACGACGGGUAGCCGGCCUGAGAGGGUGACCCGGCCACACUGGGACUGAGACACGGCCCAGACCUCUACGGGAG
rnacentral:rRNA from 1 species